rnacentral:rRNA from 1 species
UACGAAGGGGGCUAGCGUUGUUCGGAAUUACUGGGCGUAAAGCGCGCGCAGGUGGUCUUUCAAGUCAGUGGUGAAAGCCCGGAGCUCAACUCCGGAAAUGCCAUUGAAACUGUGAGACUUGAGGACGAGAGAGGUGAGUGGAAUUCCCAGUGUAGAGGUGAAAUUCGUAGAUAUUGGGAAGAACACCGGUGGCGAAGGCGGCUCACUGGCUCGUAACUGACGCUCAGGCGCGAAAGCGUGGGGAUCAAACAGG